rnacentral:tRNA from 1 species
GGAGAAGUACCCAAGAGGCCGAAGGGGCUCCCCUGGAAAGGGAGUAGGGCGUUAGUAGCGUCGCAUGGGUUCAAAUCCCAUCUUCUCCG